rnacentral:rRNA from 1 species
AUGGCCAUGGUGCUGGACGCCUUCGCGUCCUACAUCGCCGACACGAUCAAGCAGAUGGCGGCGGACGAGGUGGGGAUGCUGCUCGGCGUCACCGGGGAGAUCGACAGCCUGCACGACAAGCUGGAGAGCCUCAGGGACUACCUCGCCGAUGCCGAGAGGAAGCGCAUCACUGACCGGACGGUGCAGGGGUGGGUCACAAAGCUCAAGGGUGUCAUGUACGAGGCGACCAACAUCCUUGACCUCUGCGAGCUCAAGGCCAUGGGUCGGCGGGAUGCAGCACCCUCACCCUGCUGCAACCCGCUGCUCUUCUGCUUGCGGCAUCCCAUGUUCGCCCAUGAUAUUGGCAGCCGCAUCAGGAAGCUCAACAAGAGGCUGGACGACAUCUGCUUGCUCGGUGCUGCCUUCAGCUUCAUCAAGCUGGAGACCUACCAGGACUACAGGACCGGCCGACCUUCUGCAGCUGACCGGAAGACGGAUCCGGUGUUGGAACGCUCGGCUGUGGUAGGUGAGAAGAUUGAAGAGGAUACAAGAGCACUGGUUGAGGAGUUGACAAAGGAUAACGAUGGUAUCAUGGUGGUCGCCAUCGUCGGUGUCGGCGGGAUCGGGAAGACCACCCUUGCCAAGAAGGUCUUCAACCACGAGGAAAUUCAACACAAAUUUGAAAAGACGAUGUGGCUGAGCGUCACACAAGACUUCAGCGAUGUUGAGCUGCUAAGGUUGGCCAUCACCACCGCCGAUGGAAAACUCCCUGCAACUGAAGACAAAUCUAUGCUUGUGCCGGCCCUUCUCAACGCCGUCAGAAACCAGAAAUUUCUUCUAGUUUUGGAUGAUAUGUGGAGUGAUAGAGCAUGGACCUCAUUACUCAAUGCUCCCUUCAGCCACGGUGCCCCUGGUAGCCGGAUUGUCAUCACCACGAGAAAUGAGACGGUUGCCCCAGGCAUGAGAGCCAGAGAGCCCUACCACCGCAUUGAUAAAUUAGGGCCCGAGGAUGCCUGGACAUUGCUCAGGAAACAGGCAGUCUCAGGAGAGGCAGAUGGACUUGAUAUCGAUUUGCUGAAGGAUAUUGGAUUGCAAGUGGUAGCAAAGUGUGAUGGUUUGCCUCUUGCUGUCAAAGUAAUGGGGGGACUUUUGCGUCAGAAAGGGAAGCAUCGUCAUGACUGGGAGAUGGUUCUGAAUGAUUCUAUAUGGUCAGCAUAUGAAAUGCCCGAAGAACUGAACUAUGCAGUAUAUUUAAGCUAUGAAGAUUUGCCUCCUUGCAUCAAGCAGUGCUUUCUACAAUACUCCCUUCUCCCUAAAGGUGGAUCGUUCAGUCGUGCUGACAUUAUUGGCAUGUGGAUUAGUGAAGGAUUUAUUCACGGAAGCUCAGACGACUUGGAAGAAUUAGGAAUAAAGUACUAUAUUGAGCUGAUACUUAGGAACCUUAUUGAGCCAGGAAUACAGUAUAUUGAUGACCCAGUUCUCAAUAUGCAUGAUGUUGUUCGCUCAUUUGCUCAAUUUGCGGCUAGAGACGAGGCAGUAGCUGUUCAGAGUGGAGAGAAUGGUAAUAUUAGUAAACUCACUGCACAAUAG